AGGAGAAUAAAUACUGCAGUCGAGGUGAACACAAGCUAAAGUUUCUGCCUCAUUGUUUCUGCAUACAGGACAUCCAGCCAAAAAAGAGAUGAGCUCCUAGUUGUGGUUUGACUUCUGCUCUGUUUCUCAUCUGCAGUUUCAGUGUGGGAGGAACAAAAGAUAUUAAUACAUUUCUGCAUCAUUGGUUUAUUAACAGACAUCGCUGUUGAAACUGUCCAGUAUGGAGUCCAGUGUGGAGUCCAGUGUGCUGCCUCUUAUAAUCUUGCUGAUGUCCAACAGCUACUUUGCACAAACUCCAGAUAAACCUGUUCUGACUGCAAAUCCUGAAACAUCACUGAUAUUCAGAGGAGACACUGUCACUCUCACAUGUGACGUACAGGAGACACGAGUGACAGACUGGACAUACAGAUUUCAGUGUGAUGGUGGUAAUAUUCAAGACACUAAUUGGAAAGAGUUCAAGACUACUGUAAUAUACAGCAGAUACAGCGGAUACAAUAAAUGCAAGUGUUUGGCUAUGAGCACAUCUACACAAAUCAGCACUUCCAUGAGCAAUGAAGUGUCAUUUACUGUCAUCGAUAAACCUAAACCUGUUCUGACUGUAAAUCCUGAAACAUCACCGAUAUACAGAGGAGACACUGUCACUCUCACAUGUGACCUACAGGGGACACGAGUAACAGACUGGAAAUACAGAUUUCAGUGUGAUGGUGUUUAUCAAGAAUCUAAUGAGAAAGAGUUCAAGAUUACUGCAAUGAACAGCAGAUACAGGAAAUGCAAGUGUUACGCUAGAAGAACAUAUAGACGAAUCGACACUGACUGGAGUAAUGAAGUGUCAUUUACUGUCAUCGAGAGACCAAAACCUGAAGUGCGUGUAAAUCCAGAUCAUCAUGUGUUCAGAGGAGAGACAGUCACUCUCACAUGUGACAUACAGACACAAACACACACUGAGUGGAGAUACAGCUGGAUUAAAGAUGAUUCAGUCAAUCCAGUCAGCACUGAGAGAGUGUACAGAAUCACAUCUGACAAAUCUCACAGUGGUAAAUACAGCUGUAGAGGAGAGAAAAUCAGUGACUCACAGAGAUCAGACAUCAGUGAUGCUGUUACACUGACUGUAUCAGAUAAACCAACACCAGCUGUGAUUGUGUCGCCCCAGAGUUCAGUGUUCACUGGAGACACAGUUACUCUGAGCUGUACGUUCACACACUCAACUGGAUGGACGAUUCACUGGAAUAAAGACUCAAACUCUGAAUCCAGUGAUGCUGCAGGAACUAAAACAAUCAGAUCAGUGAAAGUCUCUGAUGGAGGACAGUACAGAUGCAGGGCACAAAGAGGAAAAUACUACACAAAGUUCAGUAACACAGUUCAAUUAACAGUUAAAGCGAGACCAAAACCUGAAGUGCGUGUAAAUCCAGAUCAUCAUGUGUUCAGAGGAGAGACAGUCACUCUCACAUGUGACAUACAGACACAAACACACACUGAGUGGAGAUACAGCUGGAUUAAAGAUGAUUCAGUCAAUCCAGUCAGCACUGAGAGAGUGUACAGAAUCACAUCUGACAAAUCUCACAGUGGUAAAUACAGCUGUAGAGGAGAGAAAAUCAGUGACUCACAGAGAUCAGACAUCAGUGAUGCUGUUACACUGACUGUAUCAGUUGUUUCUCCCUCAGUGUCUCUGAUCAUCAGUCCCAGCAGAAGUCAACACUUCUCAUCUCACUCUCUCUCUCUGAACUGUGAGGAUCACAAUAACUCCACUGGAUGGACAGUGAGAAGAAACACAGACAGUGAGAGAAUGAAAGAUUGUUCAUCUACAGGAUCUACAUGUGAAAUCAGCUCCCUUAAAACAUCUGACACUGGAGUGUACUGGUGUGAGUCUCAAUCUGGAGAACACAGUCCUCAUAUUAACAUCACAGUACAUGAUGGUGAUGUGAUUCUGGAGAGUUCUGUUCAUCCUGUGAUUGAGGGAGAUACUCUGACUCUACACUGUUUACAUCGAUCUACAAACUCCUCAAUCCUCACAGCUGAUUUCUAUAAAGAUGGAUCACUCCUCCAGAAUCAGACGACAGGAGAGAUGAGCAUCCCUACUGUCUCAAAGUCACAUGAGGGUUUCUACUCCUGUAAACACGGAGAGAGAGGACAGUCACCCGAGAGCUGGAUCUCAGUCACAGUCUCAGACGGUGAUUUGGGUGGUUGCUGGUCUGAGUGUCGCCGUGUUACUCCUCAUCUCACUGAUCCUGCUGUGGAGAUACAAAAAAGGAGAUCCCACUCAUUCGGAUCCCUGGAUGAUUCCUCCCUAGCCCUUUGAGUCCGCAGUUCAGCGGAGGAACUCGCCGACCCAAUCCACUGUGGGUACUUAAUCUACCCUGUACUGGAAUAGAUGCUCCACAGCUCAAGGACUCCUACAUGGACUCCCCAUGUGUGUAUUUUCCGCGGGAAAAGCAGUGAGUGUGAAGACGUUGUUUACUCUGAUCUGAAGCAGAACACAGACAGAGGUGGCAGUGCUGGAGUCGAUGCAACUUAUGCUCAAGUUUUUAAUCACCGAAAGAAAAAACCUGCAAGAAUUGAUCAAGUUUAUUUUAAAAUACACACAUUUACAUGUAGAAGAAAUGCUGAAAUCAAUCAAUGAUCAGAUCAUUAAUUAAAAAGACACCUGACAAGACAAAACUGGAUUUCCAUGAGAUUUUGAGAUGUUUUUUAUCCAGUCUUGACGUCAACAUGUAAUGAGAGAAUGCCGUUAAAUGCCUUUACAUGCAAAAGUUCGGAUCAUGUUUCUUGUAUUUUGUGUCGGGAAGUUUGUACACAAACCUUCUGCUUUUAUAAUGCGCUUAUUUUAAAUGUGUGUUUAAUAGUGCAACAUUUAUUGUAGUUGGGACACUUUCUUGUUUAAGUUCAGAAUUUGCUCUUUCAUGUAAAUUGUAAACUAACUCUUACAUUAUAAACCUGCGCAUGUGUGUUUCUAUAAUGUCAGUGUAACUAUAUUCAUUUUGAAAUUAAUUGCUUAAUUUUAAUUGCUUAAUUAAUUUUCUGUCUGUUUUCUUCAGCGUCUCAAAGUUUCACUUUAACUUUAAGAUCAGUUAUAUUUUCAUCAGUUAAACACAGUCUUCAUGUCUGUGUCGAAGAUGUGCCUGUAUUUACAGUAUGAGGAGGAUUUUGCGAAGAGAAUAAGACUUUCAUUUAAGGUUUAUUUUAAGAUUUUCUGUAAUUUUGAUGAAAAACAAAAACAAAAACAAACCUGAUGUUCUUCUCAUGAGCAUUUAUCUUACGGGAGGCUGUGGCUCAGGUGGUAGAGCGGGUCGGGCACUAAUCACAGGGUUGGUGGUUUGAUUCCCGGCCCACACGACUCCAUAUGCUGAAGUGUGCUUGGGCAAGACACUGAAGUUGCUCCCAAUGGCAGCUCUGCCGUCACUGGUGUAUGAGUGUGUGGGUGAAUGAGUCACAGUGUAAAACGCUUUGAAUACCGUUAAGGUUAAAAAGGUGCUAUAUAAGUGCAGACAACUUAUCAUACUUAAAUUAGAUAACCAUGACCAUUUUUAACCCUGGGUUAACAUAAUCUGGGGUUAUAUUGUUUUAUAUGCAUGCUCAUUCUUUACCCAGGAUUUGUAAAUGACACUUUAUGCUGUUGCACAUUAACUAGAAUUAAAUUC